UACGGCCACAUCACGUAGAAACACCGACUUCCGUACGAUCACAGAAGUUAAGCAAUGUUAAGCCUGGUCAGUACCUAGAUGGGCGACUGCUUGGGAAUACCAGGUGUUGUAAG